rnacentral:misc_RNA from 1 species
AUUAAAUUUAUGCAGCUUCAAUUUGUACAUGUUUUCUCAUUCUCAAGCUGCAACAAAAAGUUUGCCCUUGAAUUACACAAAGAAACAACCUUGGUCUCUUGGACUCUCCUAAAGAAAAAAGAUAAAAGAUAAAAGAAAAACACUUACAUAUAUUACACAAAAUAGAGAAGAGAAAGAGAGAGGGCAAAUUAAUUCUCUCAAUUCACAAAAACCUAUGAAUAAUCUCUCUCUCCUUCUGCCUUUUAUUCUUCAAUUGGUCAAACAAGGACUCUCAACCCUCAACUCAACUAAAUAGAGAAAAGAAACCUAACAAGG